CGCAAUUCGAAAUGUGGCAAUACUAAACCAGCGUUGGAAUUGUACGGAGAGAAAAAUGAAAUGCAUAGGGAUGUAGGAUUUUUGUGUCUCAUGGUCAAAGAUACCUAUGAGAGGGAUAAAAAUGGAAAUUAAAUAAAAGUUAGAGAUGCAGGAUGAUACAUGUGAUGUGCAAGAAGAACCUCUCUACUAUGCAUUAGCUUUUCAUUAUCUUAUUUUUCUUUAUUUUGAAAUGUAAUGUUUCAGAUUGUCAAUAUUACUCCAUUCAUUAAUAAGCACUCAAUUAAUAUUACUUUUAGUAAAAAUUCAUUCAAAGAUUAAUUAAAUUUAUUGGGUCAACUACGAGUUUAAACUAAGAAAAAAGAAGAAAAAAUAAAUAACACAUACAUACAAACUGAGAUGAGAUUUCAGUUUCUGUAAAUAUCCAUAACAAAAAUAAAGCAGAUAAAAAAUUAAAUUCGAUCAUACUAAUGUUUUAUUAUACAUUGUUAUUUAUAUUAUAUUCUGAGAAUUUGAAUUUAUAAUUAAAAGUUAAUUGUUUAACCUUUUUCUCAGAUAUUCGCAAAACAACUUGUUUUAGACAACCCGUGUCUCGUUACCAUCCCAAAUGAAACAAAACAUAAUCACAGAUGUUAUCAACAACAAAAAAGCAAAAACAAAGGAAUUCCAAAAUCCCUAGUUAAAAUUGAUGUCAUGAAAACAGAAACCACAUCAUCUACCAGAAUGUCUCAUCACAUCAUGGCAUAUAAAAGUACAAACUUGACUGUCCGUGCUCUAAGAGCGUCAAACGACUUUCCCCAUGCAAUCCCUUUUUUCUUUUUCUUUUUUUGACGAUACAAGCCAACAGUAAAACAGUGCUUAUUUAUAUACACAGAGAAGGGAAAGAGUACAAACCAUUCAUUGUUUUUCACUCAUAGCGCUUCUGCAACUGAGUAGUGCACUUCAGUAACUGAUUUUUUCAAGAAGCUAGUUCCACAGUUCGAAUCAAGAGCAUCUAAUUCAGUAGAAGCUACAAG
rnacentral:lncRNA from 1 species